CGGGGUGCAGCAGGCGCGAAACCUUUGCAAUGCGUGUAAGCGCGACAAGGCGAGUCGGAGUGCAGUUUUAAACUGCUUUUGCCCACUGAAAACGGUGGGUGAAUAAGGGCUGGGUAACACGAGUGCCAGCCACCGCGGUAAUACUCGGAGCCCGAGUGAUUGCCACUGUUAUUGGGUCUAAAGCGUCCGUAGCCGGCAUUGUAAGUCCCUGGUGAAAUCUGGCAGCUGACUGUCAGGCGUGCUGGGGUUACUGCGAUGCUCGAGACCGGGAGAGGGCAUAGAUACCCGUGGGGUAGGGGUUAAAUCCUAUAAUCCUACGGGGAUCACCUGUGGCGAAGGCGUAUGCCUGGAACGGGUCUGACGGUGAGGGACGAAAGCUAGGGGAGCGAUCGGGAUUAGAUACCCCGGUAGUCCUAGCCGUAAACGAUGCCCGCUUGGUGUUGCAGUCCUCUUGGGGGAUUGCAGUGCCGAAGCGUAGGUGUUAAGCGGGCCACCUGGGGAGUAUACUCGCAAGGGUGAAACUUAAAGGAAUUGGCGGGGGAGCAC
rnacentral:rRNA from 1 species